rnacentral:rRNA from 1 species
GAUGAACGCUGGCGGCGUGCCUAAUACAUGCAAGUCGAGCGAACAGACGAGGAGCUUGCUCCUCUGACGUUAGCGGCGGACGGGUGAGUAACACGUGGAUAACCUACCUAUAAGACUGGGAUAACUUCGGGAAACCGGAGCUAAUACCGGAUAAUAUAUUGAACCGCAUGGUUCAAUAGUGAAAGACGGUUUUGCUGUCACUUAUAGAUGGAUCCGCGCCGCAUUAGCUAGUUGGUAAGGUAACGGCUUACCAAGGCAACGAUGCGUAGCCGACCUGAGAGGGUGAUAGGCCACACUGGAACUGAGACACGGUCAAGACUCCUACGGGAGGCAGCAGUAGGGAAUCUGCCGCAAUGGGCGAAAGCAUGACGGAGCAACGCCGCGUGAGUGAUGAAGGUCUUCGGAUCGUAAAAAUCUGUUAUUAGGGAAGAACAAAUGUGUAAGUAACUAUGCACGUCUUGACGGUACCUAAUCAGAAAGCCACGGCUAACUACGUG